GUGUGUUUAUGUGUGGAUUGUGUUCAGCACCAAGGACGGGUAUGAUUGCCUGUGUGUGAAUAGUGUUCAGCACCAAGGACAGGUAUGUUUAUAU
rnacentral:pre_miRNA from 1 species